rnacentral:rRNA from 1 species
AGUGAACGCUGGCGGUAGGCCUAACACAUGCAAGUCGAACGGCAGCACAGUAAGAGCUUGCUCUUACGGGUGGCGAGUGGCGGACGGGUGAGGAAUACAUCGGAAUCUACUUUUUCGUGGGGGAUAACGUAGGGAAACUUCCGCUACUACCGCAUACGACCUACGGGUGAAAGCAGGAGAUCUUCGGACCUUGCGCGAUUGAAUGAGCCGAUGUCGGAUUAGCUAGUUGGCGGGGUAAAGGCCCACCAAGGCGACGAUCCGUAGCUGGUCUGAGAGGAUGAUCAGCCACACUGGAACUGAGACACGGUCCAGACUCCUACGGGAGGCAGCAGUGGGGAAUAUUGGAAAAUGGGCGCAAGCCUGAUCCAGCAAUACCGCGUGGGUGAAGAAGGCCUUCGGGUUGUAAAGCCCUUUUGUUGGGAAAGAAAAGCAGCAGGUUAAUACCCCGCUGUUCUGACGGUACCCAAAGAAUAAGCACCGGCUAACUUCGUG